GGAAAAANUCUUUCCUCGGUG
rnacentral:tRNA from 1 species